GGGCUCUGCCUGUAAGCCCUUAACUAGAGUUGAUGGAAUUCCUACAGGGAGGUCCCACCUAUUGAGGAGGGAUGAAUCUGAGUCCCACCUAAAGAAGCAGUCUGGCCACAAUCUGCCACAGCCACUGUGUUGCACUGGGAACAUGGAGAGCAGACCUUCUUGGCAAAAUACGUACCUAGUGAAUCUCAUUUCCUCUGGUUUUGAUUCCAACCCCUCGGUCCUUCCCAUGGAGAGCUACUUCUACAAUGCAGGGUCCACAAGGGGCAUGGUUUCAAAGGCAAGAACUUCCAGCACCACGCCUCCAUCCACCUCCCCAUCAGGCAACCUAGAGUUCUUUGUCUAACUUUCCCAAGCACAGGCUAGGUAAAAUUCCAGGUGAGCUUGCUUUGUUCAGAAAGCCCGCCAAAAGCUCUGGAAGGAGGGGCUCUGUUGUGGGCCCAAGCAACCAAUCUGGGAUUAGAGUCAAAGAUUUGUCACUCCAGAGGAAGUCUGAAAAAAC
rnacentral:lncRNA from 13 species